AAAUCCUCUGUUUUUCCAAUCUUCUGUUUUUCCAUGUUUUGCUAGGUGCAGAGCGCGACACGUGGAUGAUGCAUCACCAACGGUCAAGAUUAGAUUGGUUUGAGGGGGUUAUUAAAUCCGGUUUAAAUGGAUGAUUCGAACCACCAUUUUUGAACUGGUCCUUUACCAAACAACUCAUUUGCAGGUUGCCCUCUCUCGCACGACGCGCUCUCUCUCAUCCGUCUCUAUGUCCCUCACAUCUCUCGCUGCUCACAGAGGAGAAACCCUAGCGGUGGUUUCUUCUGCUGCUCCCGGUCAAGGUCGAAGCUCACGAAGGGGUUUUUCCUGUAGGCGAAAGGGAUUAGUUGUCUCUCUAUCUUGCGAAGGGGAUUUUUUGCUAGGUUUGAGUCACUAUCGCGCCGAACUUUUUUCUG